CUUGACAAAUGGAAAUUCUUUAAAAAAAAAAAUUUAUCCCAAAAUUUCAAUCCACUUUAAUUUUUUUUCCCUGGCAAUUCAUCCACGUUAACUAACCAUGAUCUCCAUAAACUUUGCAGUUUGUCUCUAUCUUCUCUAUUAUCAAAUAAGCAAAACAACAUACCCUUUCAUCUCUUUAAGUUUCAAUUUGAUCUCCACAAUUUCUUUCAUAUCUAUUUUUUUUUCUACACCAAUUUGAAAAUUUUAUCUCUUUUUCUGAUUUCUGUUUAAUACUUAAAAGUUCAUCAUGAACAAUUUUUUUAGAUUGAUACGGUGGGUUGUGGCGUUUGAGUUUAAAGUCACGUCGGGAAGAGAUAGAAAUUGGUAAGGUGAUGUUGGAGAUAUUGAGAGAAGCGAGAACCUUAAAGAUUUUCUGCAGGGUAUGCAGAAUUUGUAGGUAUUAAGGGUGGUGUGUGUAAUGAGUUCAUAUGAACUUUUUUAGCAAAAACGGAGUAAAAGGGUUAAUAGCAUGCCUCUUCUGAAUAUAGUGGCAGUAAAGGUAGCUUGGAUCAAAGAAAAAGGUCCUACUCUAUGGUAUGUCAAUCAUCUACUUAAUUCAUGGGGUCCAUGGGGCUUAAGCCUUAUGGUAUCAUCCUUUUUACCGAGCUACCAGAUAAUUACAACGCUGUAUAAAAAAGGUAUAUGUUGUAACUUGCUAAGGAGAUACAUGGGUUAAUAAUAUAAUGUGUACACGUACCUGUACAGAACUAAUAUAUAGUGCGCAAGUUUGGAGCAUCUUUAUGUUUGUUUGAAUUAAUUUGUAAGUCUAAUCGACUACAUGGAGACCUCAAGCCAAAACUUUGUGGUUCAAACUAAACUAAAUUUGUAAUUUUAAUCUUAAAUUUCAACAAACUAUCAAAAGAAGUAA